rnacentral:rRNA from 1 species
UAGGGAAUCUUCGGCAAUGGACGAAAGUCUGACCGAGCAACGCCGCGUGAGUGAAGAAGGUUUUCGGAUCGUAAAACUCUGUUGUUAGAGAAGAACAAGGACGUUAGUAACUGAACGUCCCCUGACGGUAUCUAACCAGAAAGCCACGGCUAACUACGUGCCAGCAGCCGCGGUAAUACGUAGGUGGCAAGCGUUGUCCGGAUUUAUUGGGCGUAAAGCGAGCGCAGGCGGUUUCUUAAGUCUGAUGUGAAAGCCCCCGGCUCAACCGGGGAGGGUCAUUGGAAGCUGGGAGACUUGAGUGCAGAAGAGGAGAGUGGACUUCCAUGUGUAGCGGUGAAGUGCGUAGAUAUAUGGAGGAACACCAGUGGCGAAGGCGGCUCUCUGGUCUGUAACUGACGCUGAGGCUCGAAAGCGUGGGGAGCAAACAGG